UAUUGGGCGUAAAGCGUCCUUAGGUGGUGGGGCAAGUCGGCGGUUAAAGACUGGGGCUUAACUCCAGAAAGGCCGUGGAAACUGCACCACUAGAGGGCAGUAGGGGUAGAGGGAAUUCCCGGUGUAGCGGUGAAAUGCGUAGAGAUCGGGAAGAACACCAGUGGCGAAAGCGCUCUACUGGACUGCAACUGACACUCAGGGACGAAAGCUAGGGGAGCGAAUGGGAUUAGAUACCCCAGUAGUCCUAGCCGUAAACGAUGGAUACUAGGUGUUGUCUGUAUCGACCCAGACAGUGCCGCAGCUAACGCGAUAAGUAUCCCGCCUGGGGAGUACGCACGCAAGUGUGAAACUCAAAGGAAUUGACGGGGGCCCGCACAAGCGGUGGAGUAUGUGGUU
rnacentral:rRNA from 1 species